AGGAGACCAGACAUGUGGAGAAAAGAGCAAACUUCGUUGGAAUCCUGCUGUGUGAUUGUCCUAAACGGAUGCUUCAAGCUUUGCUGAGCCAUAACGACAUCUUGGAGAAGGUACUGCAUCCAGAGACCUCACCUGAAGGCUACCACUCAUUCAGAGAUGACACUUGUUUCAAAGGUUGUCUCAGAGUUCAACAGAGUGGCAACUUAAAGACUUUUUUGACGUCCUGGAUCGUCACACUGCCCGUUUUGUCGAACUCUUCGAAUCUAAGCAUGGAGUUGUUGGCGAGAGGCUCCAACAACUCGUGGGACAAACGGACCUAAACGAAACAAGAUGUGGUGGCUCUAUGCACACUAAUACUCUGCGGUCUCCCAAUCCUUCUUGGUGAUGCCCCCACAGACUUUUACAACACCUGCUUGGAUUCUGAUGGUGACGACGUGUUGGCCAACGUCUCCUUUGGGACUUUGACUGUCAUUGAAGACGAUGGCAUACCACCCGGACCCAACCUCCUCUACCUGGAGUCAGUGUCAACUGGAAUUAUCAGUGAGGGAAGUAUUGUGAUGGAUGACCUGAAAACAUUGCCUGAGGCCUUUUGCUUGCUAUUUGGUUUGUCAUACGCCCUUAAUCUUGACUAUCCAAAGGGGAUGACCAACAGCUUCAACUUUGUGCAGCGUGUGAUGUUUAGAUUGGGGCAAAACAUGGCAAAACAGGCUAACUCUCAAUAACUUGCUGUUGAGUUAAACAUGUGGAGGGUUGGGUUCAGCAUUUGAAGCAUAACUGUUCAGUUUGAAUGUUUGUCAUGGCUCCAAUCAUCCUGUGUGUGUUUAUUACGCUUGGAAGAGACAUUAUUGAAACAUUGAUCAUGAUUGAUGUUCAGAUGUACUUAUAUAGUUAUGAUUUAU